AGUACGGCCGCAAGGUUAAAACUCAAAGGAAUUGACGGGGACCCGCACAAGCGGUGGAGCAUGUGGUUUAAUUCGAUGCAACGCGAAGAACCUUACCUGGUCUUGACAUCCUGCGAACUUUCUAGAAAUAGAUUGGUGCCUUCGGGAACGCAGUGACAGGUGCUGCAUGGCUGUCGUCAGCUCGUGUCAUGAGAUGUUGGGUUAAGUCCCGUAACGAGCGCAACCCCUAUCCUUAUUUGCCAGCACAUCAUGGUGGGAACUAUAAGGAGACUGCCGGUGAUAAACCGGAGGAAGGCGGGGACGACGUCAAGUCAUCAUGGCCCUUACGACCAGGGCUACACACGUGCUACAAUGGGAAGGACAAAGAGCCGCGAAGCCGCGAGGUGUAGCUAAUCUCAUAAACCUUUUCGUAGUCCGGAUUGGAGUCUGCAACUCGACUCCAUGAAGUCGGAAUCGCUAGUAAUCGUAGAUCAGAAUGCUACGGUGAAUACGUUCCCGGGUCUUGUACACACCGCCCGUCAUACCAUGGGAGUGGGUUGCACCAGAAGUGGCUAGUCUAACUUUAUUGAGGACGGUCACCACGGUGUGAUUCAUGACUGGGGUAAAGUCGUAACAAGGUAACC
rnacentral:rRNA from 1 species